UUUACUGUGUAGCUGGGUAUAUCCACUGAUCAUUACUGAAGAUGACUGUGUUUGUGAAGCUUGUCGAGAUCUUGCAAUGUUCAGAGUGAACAUCAAUUUACAGCAAGAAGUUUCUGGCAGUGAUGACCAAGAAAGUGGACCAAGUCACCGAGACCACACUAAUGUUUGUCUUCUAUGUGGUUGUUCCACUUUACAUAGGCAAAGUGACAGGAUAUUGCGAGACAAUCCUACUGAACUGCAUCAGUCUAUGAUUAAUAUAACAGAUAACAGCAUCUGAUAGCGUGUGUCACACAUGUUGGUUACGCACCCAAAGAGAGGUUCGCCGUAAAAACCUUCUUGAUGAUGCCAGAUCUGAACCUGGUGUUGCAGAGGAAUCACAAGUGGAGCCCCAGCCAUCAGGUUCGAAUCAGACAGAACCGAACCGCAUUGUGAAUACUCAAGUAAUAGUGUUACCAGACUACCGACGAGCAGCCAACUCUAACAAUUGUUGUGUUUUUCCAAACUGCGAUAGUAGCACCUUACACGGCAUAUCAGAUAAAUUACGUGCACUUGUGCAUCAUAAGCACAAUUAUUAUCUGCCAAAACUGGCUCGUGUCUGUGGUGAGCAUUCUAUGAGCAAUUCAUGGGAAACCUUGUAUGACUCCUAGAACAGCAUAGAGACUUUCACCGCUGAGCAGAUCCAACGUGUAUUUUCAUUUGUUAAUAAAUUCAAUCCAACUUUAGACUUCGAUCAUUUAGAAGAAAUGAAUGAUAGAGUAUUUGAGUAUUGGAUAGGACUUACAAAAGAAAAAUUCAAUUCUUUACUUAUCCAAGUACCCCGAAUACUGGAACUGCAAAGAGGAAGUUUAGGCCUAGCCACACUAUUAUUGAAAAUAAGGACAGGUGAUUCAGUUGAUAGAAUUGCAACAUUAGUGAAAGCGCCACAUCGAACCUUAGAGUCUUUAAUGGAUAAAGUGAGAGAAAUACUCCUUCAAGAUUUUGUUCCACGAAAUCUAGGAAUAACUCAAUUAAGGAGGGAAGAACUCUUGCGGCAUAAUUUAUUAAUUCCAAAUGAGCUUUAUGGAUAUGGAAACAAUGCCAUUGUAAUAUGUGAU